ensembl:lncRNA
AAGAUCUUGAAGCUGAAUGUACACAGAGUGAGAAAGAGGAUUCAAAGAUAAAUCUGAAGUUUGUUGCAGGAAAAUCCUGUGAUACAGAUCUCUGAAAGAAGACCAAGAGCAGGAGAAAGUGAAUACCAUUUCCUUGACAGGAAACAAUUUUCUUCUCAGAACGAGUGUUCAGUACAUCUCCAGAUCAUGAAGCUGAGGCUGAAGUCCUUUAUUACAAGGGAACAUUCUACCUGGAAAAUCUUCAAGACUGCUUAAAAAAAAGAAAAAGAAAGAAAAAGAAAUUAAAAAAAAGAAAAAGAAGAAUGAAAAAGAAAAUUAAAAAACAAAACAAACAAACAAAAAAACCCACUCAUAUUCUCCUAUAUAUUCCUCCACUAAUGUGUCUUCAGGCACAACAAUUUUGCAUGACUUCAUCAGCCAGCAUGACAGAGAUGUAGAUAUGUCCUCUAUCACUCUAUCAUAUCAAGGUAUUGUUCUUACCCAGAUAUUGUAGAAUACAAUACAGAAGGUAUUGUUCUACCACAGAUGAAGGAAGUAUAGCAUGUAUAGCAUUUUUCCAAACCUCAAAUCUCCCCCAUAUUGUCCCCUCUUUAAAGGAGAGUGGUUUCUGCUUCCUAAUUCUUUCAGUAGUGUCAGUUGCAUAUUGCUCCAGUCUUUACCAAAACCUUUCCAGAAUGCCACUAAUACUAUGCUUGUAUGUAUAAGAUGAGUUCUGCUUUAGCUCUUGUCUGGGGAGAGCAAUACUUCAAAUCCUCUCAAUCUUCUCACAUCAUCAAGACCGAUCAAAACCAAGCAGUUAAAAGCCAGAAGUAUACUUGGACAAGACUCUAAUUGAAGGCCACAGUUCUUGGGCUGUUUUUAUCCAUGUAGUAAUGGGUACACACAAGAGGGGG